rnacentral:rRNA from 1 species
AAUGACUUAGCGGCGGACGGGUGAGUAACGCGUGGGUAACCUGCCUCAUACAGGGGGAUAACAGUUAGAAAUGACUGCUAAUACCGCAUAAGCGCACAGUGCUGCAUAGUACAGUGUGAAAAACUCCGGUGGUAUGAGAUGGACCCGCGUCUGAUUAGGUAGUUGGUGAGGUAACGGCCCACCAAGCCGACGAUCAGUAGCCGACCUGAGAGGGUGACCGGCCAC